rnacentral:rRNA from 1 species
UACGUAGGGUGCAAGCGUUGUCCGGAAUUAUUGGGCGUAAAGGGCUCGUAGGCGGUCUGUCGCGUCGGGGAGUGAAAACUCAGGGCUUAACCCUGAGCCUGCUUCCGAUACGGGCAGACUAGAGGUAUGCAGGGGAGAACGGAAUUCCUGGUGUAGCGGUGGAAUGCGCAGAUAUCAGGAGGAACACCGGUGGCGAAGGCGGUUCUCUGGGCAUUACCUGACGCUGAGGAGCGAAAGUGUGGGGAGCGAACAGG